GUCAGGAUGGCCUAGUGGUCAAAGGCGCCAGACUCAUGUUCUGGUCCUCGUUUGAGGGCCUGGGUUCAAACCUACUUCUGACA